UACGUAGGGGGCGAGCGUUGUCCGGAUUUAUUGGGCGUAAAGAGCUCGUAGGCGGUUUGGCAAGUCGGGUGUGAAAUUUCGAGGCUCAACCUCGAAACGCCACUCGAUACUGGCAGACUUGAAUACGGGAGAGGGUAGUGGAAUUCCUGGUGUAGGAGUGAAAUCCGUAGAUAUCAGGAGGAACACCGGUGGCGAAGGCGGCUACCUGGACCGGUACUGACGCUGAGGAGCGAAAGCGUGGGGAGCAAACAGG
rnacentral:rRNA from 1 species